GAUGAAGAACGUAGCGAAAUGCGAUACUUGGUGUGAAUUGCAGAAUCCCGUGAACCAUCGAGUCUUUGAACGCAAGUUGCGCCCGAAGCCACUAGGCCGAGGGCACGCCUGCCUGGGCGUCACACGCCGUUGCCCCCCCAUCUACUCCUUCGGGAUUGCGGGGGGGCGGAUGAUGGCCUCCCGUGCGCCUAGCCGCGCGGUUGGCAUAAAUACCAAGUCCUCGGCGACGCACGCCACGACAAUCGGUGGUUGCGAAACCUCGGUUGCCCGUCGUGUGCGUUCGUCGCGCAUCGAGGGCUCGAAAAAAUGCUCGGCUCCGGCUGGGCUUUCAACGCGACCCCAGGUCAGGCGGGGUUACCCGCUGAAUUUAAGCAUAUCAAUAAGGAGGA
rnacentral:misc_RNA from 1 species